rnacentral:rRNA from 1 species
AGUGAACGCUGGCGGUAGGCCUAACACAUGCAAGUCGAACGGCAGCACAGUAAGAGCUUGCUCUUACGGGUGGCGAGUGGCGGACGGGUGAGGAAUACAUCGGAAUCUACUUUUUCGUGGGGGAUAACGUAGGGAAACUUACGCUAAUACCGCAUACGACCUACGGGUGAAAGCAGGGGAUCUUCGGACCUUGCGCGAUUGAAUGAGCCGAUGUCGGAUUAGCUAGUUGGCGGGGUAAAGGCCCACCAAGGCGACGAUCCGUAGCUGGUCUGAGAGGAUGAUCCGCCAAAAGGGAACUGAGACACGGUCCAGACCCCUACGGGAGGGAGCAGUGGGAAAUUUUGGACAAUGGGCGCAAGCCUGAUCCAGCCAUACCGCGGGGGUGAAGAAGGCCUUCGGGUUGUAAAGCCCUUUUGUUGGGAAAGAAAAGCAGCAGGUUAAUACCCCGCUGUUCUGACGGUACCAAAAGAAUAAGCACCGGCUAACUUCGU